UACGAAGGGGACUAGCGUUGUUCGGAAUCACUGGGCGUAAAGCGCACGUAGGCGGAUGUGUCAGUCAGGGGUGAAAUCCCGGGGCUCAACCUCGGAACUGCCUUUGAUACAGCACGUCUCGAGUCCGGAAGAGGUGGGUGGAAUUCCUAGUGUAGAGGUGAAAUUCGUAGAUAUUAGGAAGAACACGUGGCGAAGGCGGCCCACUGGUCCGGUACUGACGCUGAGGUGCGAAAGCGUGGGGAGCAAACAGG
rnacentral:rRNA from 1 species